rnacentral:lncRNA from 1 species
UUUUGUUCAUGGGUUGCAUUGCUGGCUGUACAAGUACCUUGCAACGAGUUCCAAACCAGGCUGGAAUGAGGUCAACAGAAUGAGUCCCUGAGAAGCCUGGUCACGGUGAUGACCACUGUAAACACAGAAGUCAUAGACUGAAUUUUGGGCCCUGUUUGGGUUCUUUUGCAGUGGGGGAGGGGGAUGACUAUCAUAGAAUCCUAGAAUCAUAGAAUUACCCAGAUUGGAAAAGACCCUGAAGAUCAUCAAGUCCAACCACAGCCUAACCAUAGUACCCUAACUCUAACAACCAUCUGCUAAAUCAUAUCCCUGAGCACCACAUCCAAAUGGCUCUUAAACACAUCCAGGUAUGGUGACUAUAUUAACUACUAAAAUAAUUCCUGAAAGUUUGCAUGUUUGAAAAGGCUAAAGCUGGGGAG